GAUUGCAAAUGAACAAUUUGCCGAAAUAUGCAUAUGUUUGUUCCAAACAUUUCAGCACCGAAAACUUAAUAAGAGGCAGUAAGAGAACCACACUUUCUAAAUAUGCAGUUCAUCGAAUUAGCGAGUUUGAAAGACCUGAAUUGAAAAGAAGUUCCAGCACGGAAACUGCAAGUUCCAGAACAGUAACAAUCCCAGACACUGAUAAUCAAAGUUUCAGCCUAUUGUCUUCUCCCAAAAAAUUCUUAAUUAAACGUGUAAUUGAGAGUCUCCCAGAAAGUCGAGAAUAUGCAUUCAAA